GACAGCAGUCGCCGCGGUAAUACAGAGGGUGCGAGCGUUAAUCGGAUUUACUGGGCGUAAAGCGUGCGUAGGCGGCUUUUUAAGUCGGAUGUGAAAUCCCUGAGCUUAACUUAGGAAUUGCAUUCGAUACUGGGAAGCUAGAGUAUGGGAGAGGAUGGUAGAAUUCCAGGUGUAGCGGUGAAAUGCGUAGAGAUCUGGAGGAAUACCGAUGGCGAAGGCAGCCAUCUGGCCUAAUACUGACGCUGAGGUACGAAAGCAUGGGGAGCAAACAGGAUUAGAUACCCCAGUAGUCCCUGUCUCUUAUAC
rnacentral:rRNA from 1 species